rnacentral:rRNA from 1 species
GACAGCUGAAUGGUAGUCGGGCGUGAAGACUCACUUGACUAGCUGAGAGGAGGUGCAUGGCCGUCGUCAGUUCGUACUGUGAAGCAUCCUGUUAAGUCAGGCAACGAGCGAGACCCACGCCAACAGUUGCCAGCUCGUCCUCCGGGAUGGUGGGGACACUGUUGGGACCGCCUCUGCUAAAGAGGAGGAAGGAAUGGGCAACGGUAGGUCAGCAUGCCCCGAAUUAUCUGGGCUACACGCGGGCUACAACUGGGUGGGACAAUGGGUAUCGACACCGAAAGGUGAAGGCAAUCUCCUAAACCCAUCCGUAGUUCGGAUUGUGGGCUGCAACUCGCCCACAUGAAGCUGGAAUCUGUAGUAAUCGUGUCUCAAAAUGGCACGGUGAAUAUGUCCCUGCUCCUU